rnacentral:lncRNA from 1 species
AGUGUGUGUUUCAGAAGUCCCGGCCCCAGGCAGCUCUCCUGAACAGAGCCACUGGAACUCAGGAGGGUCAGGACCACAGCCCAAACAACUGCGACCGAAAACACCCUACAGGGCUUGAGAACUAAAAAAUAAGGAGGGAUCUGGGCAGCCGAGCUGCCUCCUAAAGAAGCCACGUCAUAGAGAAAACUGCUUGCUCUAUCCAUGAGACGGAGGCGGCCGGGGUGUCCUGCCAGCAGACACGGGUCUGUCCAUCACCGGCCACCACGCUGCCUCUGUCCUUCACUCCCAUUUAAGGGAAAACGAUAUCUCUUCAUCUUUCUGCCCUGGACAUUGGAAAUCAGCGGUGAGAACAGUGCUCUUGCUACAAAAUGCUCAGGUUCUAGAAUGCUCCCAUCUUUCCUUCCAUUCCACAUGGAGUUUAUCCAAAGCACAAAGGCCAGUCACGGCACUGACAUCCGUGGUGCCCGCUCACCGGGGAGUGGGAAGCACAAGCCUGUCCUCAGAGGACCGUGACUGUGAGCCCGCAGCUGCUUGUGGGUGGGGCCAGCCCGCAGCUCCUCCUGGAGGCCUCGGGCUUCUUGCUGCUGCAUUUCUGUGACAUGUGGAGGGAGGAUCGUUUUGACACCUGCCUGGGAAGUUUCAAAGGAGAUGGCCUCUGGGCAGGGGUUUUAAACUGAAGGGCACCACACAGAUCCAGAUGUGAACUGUGGCUGUUGUUUGCAAUUGAAGCAGAGAUGCAGAGGAUGGAACAGGAGUGCUGGCCAUGCUGCUCUAUGGCCUUGGCCCAGCCAAGACCUGCAGUCAAUGGGGCUACGGGACCCCCGCUACACAGGGACCUGGGAACCACCUUUGCCGCGGUUGACCGCUGGGCCCGCCAUGCACCGCCCACACCUGGCUGUGCCUGGAGACUGAGAGCAGGGGGUGACGGUGGGCCUGGUGUGUGGAGUCCCGCAGCGGGAAGGGUGGGAGGGGAGGUGGGAGAGCGCAGUCACCCAGGGGUCCCCAUGUGGGCUUGUACAGGCCUGGCCCAAUCUGACAGCAACUGGGCAGGCAGAGCGAGCCCCCACUUUAUGGGUGAGAAAACCGAGGCACGGAGAGGUGAAUGCGCGUGGUAUCAAUGCCGCUAAGGCAGAAGUGAGGCGGAAAAGCCCGUCCUCGCGAGGGGCGGCCCUGUCUCCAGCUCCCAGGUACCUCCCGCUCAUCUGCCCGAGGCUCCUGGGGAUGUGGCUCUUGGGUUUCAGGAGGGCCCUGCUCCUCCUGUGGGAACCACGGACACGUGUGUGCCCGCGUGCCCUGAGCUCACACACACACACCAUGGCGCAUGGGCAGGGAAGCGGCGCUCCUGGCUACCCGGAAGAGUCUCUCCCUUUUGCAAACGCCAGCCACAGAGGUUUAUUUUUCUCCCUGAGAGAAGGAAGAGUGAAGGCUGAGACUGAGACAGAAGGACAGAAGGAGAAGACUUAGAAGCCAGUGAGCCCGGAACCACGAGACGCGCUCUGAGGACACGGGGCCUCGGGGAAACCGGGCACGGGCAGGGGUUGGUCUUGGCUUCCCCGCAACAUUGCCGCGAGCUCGGGUGCCGUCUCCACUCGCAGGCUGGCCUGUCCUCUGCAGCCACGAGCUCAGGCACCGUCUCCGUUCAUAGGCCAGCCUGUUCUCUGCAGCCUGAGGUCCCUGUGGUGCCAACAUCCAGAUGCUGAGAUAAUUCUGCCAGGGUGUUGGCUGAUCGGUGAUUGGUGGUUGGCUGUUCCGUGAGUUCUGCAUUGAUCUUGCUGGCUGAGCGUCCAAUGCGGAGGGGCAGGUGCUGUUAGGGUCUCCACUCCCAUCCCUCUCCCCAGGACUCAUCACCCACUGCAACCGUAAGCUGCUAGGGGCUCACAGCCGUGAGUCUUUGGGACGGGUGGUCCCACCUGGCAUGUAGCUCAGGCUCCUAGCCCCAGGACCCUGCCGCUGCUCCCCUCCCGCCCACAUCUUGGCUUAGCCGUCUUCCCUGGCUGCCAGCCCCUUCCCCUGGUCUUAGUUGGCUUGAGCCACUAAACUGAAAUAGCACACCCUGAGGCCUUCAACAGCAGACCUGAUUUCUCACCAUCUGGAGGCUGGAGGUCCAGGAUCCAGGCCCCCAAGGCUGCUUUCUCCCCCACUCCCCCACCCACCUUCCAGGACACGCAGACUCCACCCUCUUGCUGCCCUGUCUCAGGGCUGUCCCUCUGGGCAAGCAGGCCCCUGGCAUCCCCGUGUGUCUUCUCCUCCUGUUCUUAUAAGGACACCAGUCAUACUGGAUCUGGGCCCACCCUAGUGACCUCAUUUACCUUAAUCACCUCUGAAAGACCUUGUCUCAUUUACCUUAAUC